UACGUAGGUGGCAAGCGUUAUCCGGAAUUAUUGGGCGUAAAGCGCGCGUAGGCGGUUUUUUAAGUCUGAUGUGAAAGCCCACGGCUCAACCGUGGAGGGUCAUUGGAAACUGGAAAACUUGAGUGCAGAAGAGGAAAGUGGAAUUCCAUGUGUAGCGGUGAAAUGCGCAGAGAUAUGGAGGAACACCAGUGGCGAAGGCGACUUUCUGGUCUGUAACUGACGCUGAUGUGCGAAAGCGUGGGGAUCA
rnacentral:rRNA from 1 species